CAAGGUUUGACAUGGCCGGAAAACUCGCAGAGAUGCGGGGUCCUUCGGGGCCGGUCACAGGUGGUGCAUGGCUGUCGUCAGCUCGUGUCGUGAGAUGUUGGGUUAAGUCCCGCAACGAGCGCAACCCUCGUCCCAUGUUGCCAGCAUUCAGUUGGGGACUCAUGGGAGACUGCCGGGGUCAACUCGGAGGAAGGUGGGGAUGACGUCAAGUCAUCAUGCCCCUUAUGUCUUGGGCUGCAAACAUGCUACAAUGGCCGGUACAAAGCGCUGCGACACCGUGAGGUGAAGCGAAUCGCAUAAGGCCGGUCUCAGUUCGGAUCGGGGUCUGCAACCCGGCCCCGUGAAGCCGGAGUCGCUAGUAAUCGCGGAUCAGCAACGCCGCGGUGAAUACGUUCCC
rnacentral:rRNA from 1 species